UACGUAGGGGGCAAGCGUUGUCCGGAUUUAUUGGGCGUAAAGAGCGUGUAGGCGGCUUGGAAGGUCAGCUGUGAAAACUCGAGGCUCAACCUCGAGACGCCGAUGGAAACCAUCUGACUAGAGUCCGGAAGAGGAGAGUGGAAUUCCUGGUGUAGCGGUGAAAUACGCAGAUAUCAGGAAGAACACCCGUGGCUAAGGCGGCUCUCUAGUACGUGACUGACGCUGAGACGCGAAAGCGUGGGGAGCGAACAGG
rnacentral:rRNA from 1 species